rnacentral:miRNA from 1 species
CAGCUAACAUUCAGCUGCUAUC